rnacentral:rRNA from 1 species
UAGGGAAUCUUCCACAAUGGACGCAAGUCUGAUGGAGCAACGCCGCGUGAGUGAAGAAGGUUUUCGGACCGUAAAGCUCUGUUGUUGGUGAAGAAGGAUAGAGGUAGUAACUGGCCUUUAUUUGACGGUAAUCAACCAGAAAGUCACGGCUAACUACGUGCCAGCAGCCGCGGUAAUACGUAGGUGGCAAGCGUUGUCCGGAUUUAUUGGGCGUAAAGCGAGCGCAGGCGGAAGAAUAAGUCUGAUGUGAAAGCCCUCGGCUUAACCGAGGAAUUGCAUCGGAAACUGUUUUCUUGAGUGCAGAAGAGGAGAGUAGAACUCCAUGUGUAGCGGUGGAAUGCGUAGAUAUAUGGAAGAAUACCAGUGGCGAAGGCGGCUCUCUGGUCUGCAACUGACGCUGAGGCUCGAAAGCAUGGGUAGCGAACAGGAUUAGAUACCCUGGCAGUCCAUGCCGUAAACGAUGAGUGCUAAGUGUUGGGAGGCUUCCGCCUCUCAGUGCUGCAGCUAACGCAUUAAGCACUCCGCCUGGGGAGUACGNCCC